rnacentral:rRNA from 1 species
UACGUAGGGUGCGAGCGUUAAUCGGAAUUACUGGGCGUAAAGCGUGCGUAGGCGGUUCUCCAAGUCCGUUGUGAAAGCCCCGGGCUCAACCCUGGGAAUGGCAGUGGAAACUAGGGGACUGGAAUCUGGCAGAGGGGGGUGGAAUGCCGCGUGUAGCAGUGAAAUGCGUAGAGAUGCGGCGGAACACCGAUGGCGAAGGCAGCCCCCUGGGCUGAGAUUGACGCUCAGGCACGAAAGCGUGGGGAGCAAACAGG